rnacentral:pre_miRNA from 2 species
AAAGUGGAGUGCAGCCAAGGGUGAUUUGCCGGCACUGACUACUUCAGUGUUAUGUGAAUAGUUAGUUCUGUUUGAUUCAUAUAUUUUCAAAUUCCGGCAAGUUUCUCUUGGCUACAUUCCGGUUUCU